CUUAGAUCAAAGAAAUUCCACCAUUAUGAACAGAUUAUUCCUACAUAAUCAAACCAUAUAUGCAGUGAAGGGCACAAAAAGAGAAAGAGUACGGUCUGCAGUCCUCCAAAAUUUUCCUGUUAUAAUGUGUAAGUUAGUCCCUGCAGUCCCAUGGCACCAAAAUGAUCUUCUAAUGAGAACAAAAAAGUCCCCAUUUUGUAAUCUAUGAAUUGAAGUGGUCAGAAAUGUGGUAUGCUUUAAACUUCAGAGGAACAGAUGGACAGAAUAUGCUACUAGGCCAACUUCUUUCAAGCUGUUACACCUUUGUCAGCGACAUACAGGAGAGGGUGUAGGCUAGGUCGGAGCAAGAUUCAACUUCUCAAUUUCAUGGGAAGCCAAAAGAAUUAAGGCUCCGUUUGUUUCGAUGUAAAAUGUUUUAUAAUAAAACAAACUUCAAACUUUUAUUUUCCGGUGUUUGGUUGGCACUUGAAAAUACUUUUAGAAAUCAACAAAAUAGUGUAGAAGGGGGGGGGGGGGGGUUGGCUUCAACGGAAUUGCAGUAGAAGGAAGCGGGUUCAUUUCGAAAAAUAACUUACGGAAGAUUUAAUGGUAAGUCAUUUUCAUCCAAUUGAUGGAAAAUAAUUUACAUGUAAAAUGUUUUCCUAAUUUUUUACACAACCAAACACCGGAAAAUAGGUAAAACAUUUUACCGGAAUAUAUUUUAUACCCAAACAAAUAGAGCCUAAAAAUCAACCUACGAAAACUAAAGACUAGGACUAUUCUUGCCAAUAGCCACUUAGCCUGAACCAGAGGCUACAAAUACGAACCAACGCUCUGAUUGAUAUUAGGUCCAUCAAAACAAUAGGUUGGCUCAAGAAAAUCUUAAAUGAUUUCAAAAAUUGAUAGCAACAAAAUAGCCCUAAUGAGUAGAUGAAAAAUGCAGAGUCAACAUAGAACAUUCCUGAAAUGUGGGUAUAUGUUGAAAGAUACCUGUCAUCAAUAG